rnacentral:rRNA from 1 species
UACGUAGGGUGCGAGCGUUAAUCGGACUUACUGGGCGUAAAGCGUGCGCAGGCGGAUUGUUAAGCAAGAUGUGAAAUCCCCAGGCUUAACCUGGGAACUGCGUUUGAAACUACAAGGCUAGAGUGUAGCAGAGGGGGGUGGAAUUCCACGUGUACCAGUGAAAUGCGUAGAGAUGUGGAGGAACACCGAUGGCGAAGGCAGCCCCCUGGGCUAACACUGACACCCAGGCACGAAAGCGUGGGGAGCAAACAGG